UAGGCAAGCUCUCCACUCUUCAGCCCCAGC
rnacentral:piRNA from 1 species